UACGUAGGGUGCAAGCGUUGUCCGGAAUUAUUGGGCGUAAAGAGCUCGUAGGCGGUCUGUCGCGUCGGCUGUGAAAACCCGGGGCUCAACCCCGGGCCUGCAGUCGAUACGGGCAGACUAGAGUGUGGUAGGGGGAGACUGGAAUUCCUGGUGUAGCGGUGAAAUGCGCAGAUAUCAGGAGGAACACCGAUGGCGAAGGCAGCCAUCUGGACCGACACUGACGCUGAGGCGCGAAAGCGUGGGGAGCAAACAGG
rnacentral:rRNA from 1 species